UACGGGGGGUGCAAGCGUUGUUCGGAAUCAUUGGGCGUAAAGAGCGUGUAGGCGGCGUGAUAAGUCAGAUGUGAAAGCCCUGGGCUUAACCCAGGAAGUGCAUUUGAAACUGUCUUGCUUGAGUACGGGAGAGGGAAGAGGAAUUCCUGGUGUAGAGGUGAAAUUCGUAGAUAUCAGGAGGAACACCGGUGGCGAAGGCGACUUCCUGGCCCGAUACUGACGCUGAGACGCGAGAGCGUGGGGAG
rnacentral:rRNA from 1 species